GAUGAACGCUGGCGGCGUGCCUAAUACAUGCAAGUCGAGCGAACGGACGAGAAGCUUGCUUCUCUUAUGUUAGCGGCGGACGGGUGAGUAACACGUGGAUAACCUACCUAUAAGACUGGGAUAACUUCGGGAAACCGGAGCUAAUACCGGAUGAUAUUUUGGACCGCAUGGUUCAAAAGGGAAAGACGUUCUUGCUGUCACGUAUAGACGCAUCCGCUCUGCAUUAGCUAGUUGGUAAGUUACCUGCUUACCAAGGCAAGGAUGGAUAGCCGACCUGCGAGGGUGAUCGGCCACACUCGAAGGGAGACACGGUCCAGCCUCAUACGGAAGGCAGCAGUAGGGAAUCUUCCGCGAUGGACGAAAGCAUGACGGAGGCAGGCAGCGUGAGUGAUGAAGGUCUUCGGAUCGUAAAACUCUGUUAUUAGGGAAGAACAUAUGUGUAAGUAACUGUGCACAUCUUGACGGUACUUAAUCAGAAAGCCACGGCUAACUACGUG
rnacentral:rRNA from 1 species